UUGUUUGAAAUUCAACAUUUCAUCAUUUUUUUUCUUUUGUAGAGAAAAAUCAGUGAUGUUAUUAGCAAGUAUGAGUUAACAAGCAAAAAGAAUCUGUUUUUUGGCAAAGCAGUUAUUGAGGUCCUGACUUCUUUUCCUGGUCUGGAGUUCUCCACAGAAAACAGAGAUAAAGUGUGUCAACGUGUUGCAAAGGCCAUUAGAUGGAAAAAGUUCUCAGUCAAAAGAAAACUCAAAAAGCAGGAAGUACACAAUGAAGUAAGACCUGAUGUGCCAGUAAUAGCAGAUAUUGUACCAGAACCCAGAGCUGACAGUCCACAACCAGCAAGUCCAGUGGCAGGCCCUUCUGUGCCACUUACACCUCCAACUGUCCAACCAAGCCAAAGUGACUUAGAUUCAGAUGAUGACAUCCUUCUGAUCUGCCUCCAAAAGAACCAGCAAGACAAGGCAACAGUAUAAACAUUGUUUAAAAUAAGUUUUAUUUAUUGUGUGUUUUUAUUUAUGAUAGAAAAAAUAUUCAUGUAUCUUAUGGUGAAAUUCAUCAAAUUUGUUUUUCUUUUUAUUUAUUUAUG